rnacentral:rRNA from 1 species
AGCCUGAUGCAGCGACGCCGCGUGGGGGAUGACGGCCUUCGGGUUGUAAACCUCUUUCAGUACAGACGAAGCGCAAGUGACGGUAUGUACAGAAGAAGCACCGGCCAACUACGUGCCAGCAGCCGCGGUAAUACGUAGGGUGCGAGCGUUGUCCGGAAUUACUGGGCGUAAAGAGCUCGUAGGUGGUUUGUCGCGUUGUUCGUGAAAACCAGAGGCUUAACCUCUGGCGUGCGGGCGAUACGGGCAGACUAGAGUACUGCAGGGGAGACUGGAAUUCCUGGUGUAGCGGUGGAAUGCGCAGAUAUCAGGAGGAACACCGGUGGCGAAGGCGGGUCUCUGGGCAGUAACUGACGCUGAGGAGCGAAAGCGUGGGGAGCGAACAGGAUUAGAUACCCUGGUAGUCCACGCCGUAAACGGUGGGUACUAGGUGUGGGUUUCCUUCCUUGGGAUCCGUGCCGUAGCUAACGCAUUAAGUACCCCGCCUGGGGAGUACGGCCGCAAGGCUAAAACUCAAAGGAAUUGACGGGGGCCCGCACAAGCGGCGGAGCAUGUGGAUUAAUUCGAUGCAACGCGAAGAACCUUACCUGGGUUUGACAUGCACAGGACGUGCCUAGAGAUAGGUAUUCCCUUGUGG